AAUGGACGCAAGUCUGAUGGAGCAACGCCGCGUGAGUGAAGAAGGUCUUCGGAUCGUAAAACUCUGUUGUUAGAGAAGAACACGAGUGAGAGUAACUGUUCAUUCGAUGACGGUAUCUAACCAGCAAGUCACGGCUAACUACGUGCCAGCAGCCGCGGUAAUACGUAGGUGGCAAGCGUUGUCCGGAUUUAUUGGGCGUAAAGGGAACGCAGGCGGUCUUUUAAGUCUGAUGUGAAAGCCUUCGGCUUAACCGGAGUAGUGCAUUGGAAACUGGAAGACUUGAGUGCAGAAGAGGAGAGUGGAACUCCAUGUGUAGCGGUGAAAUGCGUAGAUAUAUGGAAGAACACCAGUGGCGAAAGCGGCUCUCUGGUCUGUAACUGACGCUGAGGUUCGAAAACGUGGGUAGCAAACAGGAUUAGAUACCCUGGUAGUCCACGCCGUAAACGAUGAAUGCUAGGUGUUGGAGGGUUUCCGCCCUUCAGUGCCGCAGCUAACGCAAUAAGCAUUCCGCCUGGGGAGUACGACCGCAAGGUUGAAACUCAAAGGAAUAGACGGGGGCCCGCACAAGCGGUGGAGCAUGUGGUGUAAUUCGAAGCAACGCGAAGAACCUUACCAGGUCUUGACAUGCCUUGACCACCUACGAGAUGAGGCUU
rnacentral:rRNA from 2 species